CCUACGGGUGGCUGCAGUGGGGAAUUUUGGACAAUGGGGGCAACCCUGAUCCAGCCAUGCCGCGUGCGGGAAGAAGGCCUUCGGGUUGUAAACCGCUUUUGUCAGGGAAGAAAAGACUCCUACUAAUACUGGGGGUUCAUGACGGUACCUGAAGAAUAAGCACCGGCUAACUACGUGCCAGCAGCCGCGGUAAUACGUAGGGUGCAAGCGUUAAUCGGAAUUACUGGGCGUAAAGCGUGCGCAGGCGGUUAUGCAAGACAGAUGUGAAAUCCCCG
rnacentral:rRNA from 1 species